rnacentral:rRNA from 1 species
CUACGGGCGGCUCCAGUGGGGAAUAUUGCACAAUGGGCGCAAGCCUGAUGCAGCCAUGCCGCGUGUAUGAAGAAGGCCUUCGGGUUGUAAAGUACUUUCAGCGGGGAGGAAGGGAGUAAAGUUAAUACCUUUGCUCAUUGACGUUACCCGCAGAAGAAGCACCGGCUAACUCCGUGCCAGCAGCCGCGGUAAUACGGAGGGUGCAAGCGUUAAUCGGAAUUACUGGGCGUAAAGCGCACGCAGGCGGUUUGUUAAGUCAGAUGUGAAAUCCCCGGGCUCAACCUGGGAACUGCAUCUGAUACUGGCAAGCUUGAGUCUCGUAGAGGGGGGUAGAAUUCCAGGUGUAGCGGUGAAAUGCGUAGAGAUCUGGAGGAAUACCGGUGGCGAAGGCGGCCCCCUGGACGAAGACUGACGCUCAGGUGCGAAAGCGUGGGGAGCAAACAGGAUUAGAUACCCUUUAGUC